UCCGGUUUAACACCGGCAGUCUCACUAGAGUGCCCAGCCUAACUGAUGGCAACUAGUGAUAGGGGUUGCGCUCGUUGCGGGACUUAACCCAACACCUCACGACACGAGCUGACGACAGCCAUGCAGCACCUGUCUUACGGUUCCCGAAGGCACCCCCCUGUUUCCAGGAGGUUCCGUAGAUGUCAAGCCUAGGUAAGGUUUCUCGCGUAGUGUCGAAUUAAACCACAUGUUCCACCGCUUGUGCGGACCCCCGUCAAUUCCUUUGAGUUUUAGUCUUGCGACCGUACUUCCCAGGCGGAGAACUUAAUGCGUUAGCUACGGCACCGCAGGGGUCAACACCCACGACACCUAGUUCUCAUCGUUUACGGCGUGGACUAC
rnacentral:misc_RNA from 1 species